rnacentral:lncRNA from 1 species
CAGAUUGAUCCAUGAUAGCGCUGUGAGACUGAGCCAGUGCAGGCAGGGCCUCUGAGACUUGGAAAGCUGGAUCAUAAAAGAUAGCAGAGGUCCUGCCUGUGGUUUUGAUACUCACUCUUAGAACUCAACUACCGAUACAAAGAAGUCCAAACCAACUCGAGUUGGAGGCCCCUGGCAAGUUCCCCCUCCUGCGACCCAGCUGAGGCCCUAGCCAACAGCAGUAUUAAUGGCCAACUGUGUGGAUGAAGAAGCCCCUGAGGGGCCCGCCUCCCAGGACAUGGGCUGCCUCCAGCCUUUGAGUCUUCCCAGCCGAAGCUUCGAAUGUCUUGGAGCAGAAACAAUCUAGAGCAUUCUGCUGUGUUUGGAUUCCUGACCUGAAGAAUCUAUGGAUGGCAUUCACCUGAACUGCUUCACAGAGGAGAUCUCCAAGUGAUGGUGAGGAACGGCAACCACUUAGCAUCCAUUCGAGCCAGACUACGGCUUCAGAUGCUUGGAGGACAGAUUUCACACUACAGUGAAAAUGAUGGAGUGAACACUCACGCGAUGGACAGUUCCCCUGGCGCCUCAGGCUCCAGCAUUGAGUGCAUCUUUGGCGUCUCUCUGUUUUUCUAAACCAAGCAAAUGCAACAUCGAAGUUCAAAGAGACAUUGUACACUGGGUGCAAAUCCUGAACCAGCAGAAGAUGAGAAUCGGUGGGCGAAUGACCCUGAAUCCGUUUGUGAGGUCAAUUCUGGGUCUCCUCAGAGGUUUGCACAUAGGACCCAGCAGACUGUUCAACAGCUCCUGUGAAUGCUUUUAAUGGUUUAAAUACUGUACUUAUUAUCCCUUUCUUUAUACCCUCAGUUUUACUCCAUAGGAUCAUCUUUCAAAUAAACCACCAGCACCUACAACCUUGUCCCGGGCUCCACUUCUAGGAUGAACUCAAACUAAGACAAGUUAUGGAGUUAGGGUUUCUCAGGAAAGGUUGUAUUUAGAGACAAGUACCCUCCUUAUUAGAAAUAUUAAUGUGCUGGAAGCCUCAAAGUUCCAGCCUGCUUCACUGACAGUGAUCUAGUGAAAUUUACAUAGCUGCUUCUUAUUUCUAUAAUCAGAAAAAGAUUAAAUAGGUCUCAUUUUUCUGGAAAUACAGAAUUGUACGAUUCCUAUUUCUGUAUGAGAACUCGUUUCUUUUCUCCUUGAUCCACAAAUUAAACUUACAGCUAUAGGACAACCAUAUUAAUUUUUUAAACGCAGUAACAUUUUGACUAAAUCUUCUAAGAAGUAAUUAUCCUGUUUUCAUUAAUGCUAAUAUAUUAUUGCAGAAACAUUUUUUUUUUUUAAACACAACUAAAAAGCCCAAGAAUGUCAAGGGCUGGUAAAACCAUGUGGUAGAUUAACUGAUGGUCAGUUUAAGUGGGAAUGCCCAGCUGAACUGAGUCAGCAUGGUUCUGGCCAUGGAGA